UACGUAGGGUGCAAGCGUUGUCCGGAAUUAUUGGGCGUAAAGAGCUCGUAGGCGGUUCGUCGCGUCGGCUGUGAAAUCCCGAGGCUCAACCUCGGGUCUGCAGUCGAUACGGGCGGACUGGAGUUCGGCAGGGGAGACUGGAAUUCCUGGUGUAGCGGUGAAAUGCGCAGAUAUCAGGAGGAACACCGGUGGCGAAGGCGGGUCUCUGGGCCGAUACUGACGCUGAGGAGCGAAAGCUAGGGGAGCGAACUGG
rnacentral:rRNA from 1 species